CCUGAAUUCUUUGUAUAAGCAGAAUCAAGAUACAGAAGACCAGAAAGAAUGUUGAAUUUGCAAUAACCCUAAAUCCUAGGUCAUGCAAUUUGAGCUCUGCCAUUGGAAAACUGUUGCAUGUCACACACGCUGUGCUUUAAAAAUUACUCUGAUGACUCUGCACGAACACUUAAUGGAUUGACUUCCCAAAAUCAUCUGUUCAACUCUGUGUUCAAACUAUACCAGUUCAGAGCAUGGCUACAAGGCACAGAUGUCACUUAUGGAAGUCUCCAGACCUGGGCUGAACUUUGCAGUGGUGCCUCUCCCUUACAAAUCCUUCACUGUCAUUUACAGGAGGCAUCACCCUUGCAUAGCUCUCCCCACUUUGGCAGUGGACCAAGCCAGCUUGCAUUUGGCAUGAAAAGGGAAUAGCCCUGUCCCACCGAAAUCCAGAAAUGGCACUUGGCAUCAUCAGACCACAUGGACCUUUCCUAAAGCUGCAUUGCAGGCAGGAGCAGAAACCCCUUGUUUCGAACUCCUGCAUUAUCAGAAAACUUCUAGAGUUUCUCAGGCAUUCAUCACACCCCCACAAUCUGUCCAGCUGAGUGAGAGUGCCUUGCAGCGGGAUCGGGUUUUAUCCGGCACCAGGCUUCUACUGAAACAGCAGGAUCGCUGUCAGAAAUGAAAUGUGUUUUCCGUAUGGCUGAAAGUACGGCUGUGACACCUGCUUGCACUACAUCAUCUUUGGCAAAGGAAAUAAACAUCCUCUUGGUUAAAGCAGGAGUUGGAGAGCCACAGAGAUACCACCCUCAUGUUCUACUCCUAGUGUGGAAACAGAAAGAGAGGCUGGGGCAGAUUUGGGACAGGACAGUCCUCAUCCAGGACAAGGUAGUGCAGCUGCUCUGCAGACAGCACAGCUCUACCAGGCCAAGGCUUUUUCUCAGGAGGAAGUGCUCAGAUCCUCACAACAGUCUUGCCUUUCAAACUGAUGUUUUAACACACCUUUUCCUUUAUAUUUACUGGUAACCAUGUUAACCUACAGGAACUGAGUAAUUCAAUGUCAAAGCAGCAGCACAGGCUGCAGAAAGCCCUGCCCAUGCCCUGCUUGUCAGUCCUCCAAUCCUACAAGCUGCCUGCAAGACUGGCCAGGAGUGCUUGAUGAACCUGCCCUCUCCCUUUUUCCUUGACAAUGCACCAGAGAACAGAAGAGCUGCUAAGGAAACAAAUGUGAGUUGUUGCUUGUGAAUGUCAUGGGUUUCUUGGCAUCUAGCUGACAAUUGUGGAACUCAUUGCCAGAACUCACCAGAAUCAGGGAAUCCUCCUUCGUCCAUGUCACUCUGCUGUUUCUGAAGGAAAAAGAAAAAAACAAUACAGAUAUUUUAACAAGGAAAUAGCAAGCAAGAAGCUAGAGACCUAUACAGGCUGUUACGAUAUGGGAACUGGGGAAAAAAUGGCUCUGUAAGUACUGGUACCAUGAGCUGCAGCAUUCCCUGCUAGCAGCAGGGCUCUGACAGGCUGCACUCACCACCAGACCACCUACUCUGCAGGUUCAGUUUGUUGGAUGCCCUUCCCAUUUCCCAAAAUUACCAACCAUGGGAAAAUUCUGAAAGGAUCAAAUCGUGGUCUGAAGCAACUGGUAAGAAGGAGAAGAUGGGAGAGUGAACAUGUGAAACCUGGACGAAGGGAACAAGCAGCUGCACUGAUGGGAUGAACUCAGCCUCUCCAGGUGUCCCAGGAACACAAACAUGUGACAGCCACGGUGAAGGCAAUGGGACAGGCACUGACUGUGGCACUCAAAAAUGGGGGAGCCACAGCACAGGCACAGCUGCUCUCUGGCUUCUUGCUAGGGCUCCAUUUCAUGCACUUACUGCAGUUGUUUGUGCCCACAUUGGUGCAGAAUGGAUGAAGUCCUGGUUAUUCCACAACUCUGAGGCAGGCACAGAUCCAAGGAAAGAGGGAGGCUGGGAGAGAAGAAGUGGUCUGGCCAAAAACAUGUCUAGAAAUCCCCAGGGUCCUGCUGGAGAGCAGUGCUAGAGCCAGGUUCCUCCCCACUGAGCUGAGCAAGUUCCUCUCUGCAACAAUCAACGCAAUGCUUUCUCUUCUCAGAAUCAUGGAUUGCUCCAUCAGACAAGAGAUUUUCCUCCUGAUGGGUCCUUCCUCUAAGAUGGGGCUCUCUUUACCAUCCACACUGUUCUGUUUCAGCAAAACCACGUGAGUGUGCUGUGAGCACACCCCUCAUCGUUGUAAUAUUUGACAUCCCAGUGUGAAAUCCCCAUUUGGUUUCAGGUCUUCUCUUUGCCUGUUUUUUCCAACCACUUCAGCAUUUUUGAGCUUCUGAAAGUUUAGGAGUUUUUAUGUUUUUGCAUAAUUAGGAAAUUGAAAGAUGUGGUUUAUCUACUUGUUUCCUGUGAAACACAAAGGACCGAGAGACUGGGGGAGUGAGUGGGUUGGGGUGGGGUGUGUAGAUAAGACUCCUGGAGACUACGAGGAUGACUGAGCAGUAUGAGGAGAGAUUUUCUGUUGGGCCCACUGGCUUAAAGUAAGAAUUGCAGCCACAUUUGUCUGUCAUUGGAAAUGGACUUCUUGUCCAUGAAAUGACUUCUGGGAAGUACCCGUCACUUCCAAGGUGAUCAGCUGCAGUUUGUUGUCACUGCAGCUCUGGGGCUGCAGUGCAGUGGCCAUGGCAGUCCUCCUUUCUUGUCAAGGGGCGCUGCAGUGCUGGCCAAGCACCCUCUCCUCCAACAUGUCACCAACAUUAGUGACAUCUUCUGCUGUGAAAAUUCUUUCCCACUUUGCAAUGUUUGCCACAGGAGGGUUUUGUUGACUAGGAGGUGCUUUGAGCAGCUUGACAAGGAAGGGGCAUGAUCUGUGAGGGAUGGUCUGUCUGCAAAGGUAUGGGCAGCACGGAUGUGUUGUAGUGCAUCUAAAAAUCUUGGUACCUCCCAAGGGUAAAACCCACCUCUGGUUUGUGUAAUGUUAGUUCCUACCUGAGAACCUUCUUUCCCUUCCCCCUUCCCAUUGGCUGUGACCUCCCUGCAUCCCCUGAUCACCCCUGCCCCCAGGUAUAAGAGAGAAGACCCAGAGCACUUCGCUCUCUCUCUUGCCCUGGAUAGAUGACAGACAAUAAACCCGGGAUUAUUCCAGCA
ensembl:lncRNA